UACGUAGGGGGCAAGCGUUGUCCGGAUUCAUUGGGCGUAAAGAGCGUGUAGGCGGCCAGAUAGGUCAGCUGUGAAAACUCGAGGCUCAACCUCGAGACGUCGGUUGAAACCGUUUGGCUAGAGUCCGGAAGAGGAGAGUGGAAUUCCCGGUGUAGCGGUGAAAUGCGCAGAUAUCGGGAAGAACACCCGUGGCGAAGGCGGCUCUCUGGGACGGUACUGACGCUGAGACGCGAAAGCGUGGGGAGCGAACAGG
rnacentral:rRNA from 1 species